AACAUGGAUUACACGCUGUCAUCUGUUAUGCUUAAACGACCGCCUUCGUCUAUCCGCUUACCUGACACGCCGGGGUCACUCACUCUCUGCAAUGUCCCGCUUCUUGAAGAUGAGGUAACGGCCCCGCACGCACCGCCUGCACGUGUCGACGUGAAUUGCAACCGAGUUAUGACAUCAGAGGAUCCUUUAAAUAGCAGCCACCGCCAACACGACCACCAGACUGUUGGAAGAAGGAAGAGAUUGGUCAUCGUCGCGGCCACCAUCGCCGACGUGUGACCUUGACAGACGGUUGAGGCUGCUGUACGCACCUACCAGGUCAUCAUGAAGAAACAAGUGGCUUUUAUUCUGAUCCUGGUCGUCUUCCUGCCUACGGUGCAUGCCCAAUUGCCACCAAAUAUGGCCUCAUUGCUGCCUCUAGUAAUAGCCCAGUCUGGAGGUAACCCGGGGGUAGUUAGCAGCCUGCUUCCUCUGAUCCUCCCGUCGCUGAUGACGAGCAUGGGCGAGGCCCCUCCCAUGAUGCAGAUGAUGAUGAUGCAGAUGAUGAUGAAGUUAUUUAGUGGUGGUUCUGGUCACGCAGGUGGACCCCAUCAUGCAUUUUAACAGUAUCCUGCGCAGCAUGCCGCAUGCUCUGAUCCAUGCUCGACAACUUUUUGUGCAUUUCCGUAACAACGCGGAUCGACUUACCUCCAUGUCCCUACAGUUUCUCCAAAAAAAGUUCGUUUGAUUAUUUAGGCAGCUAAGAUUGACAUCUGGUGCCUUUUGGUUGGUCUUUUUCUGAUUUCGAAAACACUUCAAUAGUGAAAGAAAAUGAUAUCUUUCUUAAUUCCAGUUGAUCCCGUCUUAGAAACAUGGAUUCUGUUAAAAAUGUUUCAAAAUUAUGUAGCUACAUUUGUGUUUAGUAGGCUAUUGUGUGCCUUUAUUUUCUUUUUACUUAAUAUGUGAUACGAGGACACAAAGAACAAAAAUCCUUCUGCAUUAAAGCGAAACCAUUCAAACUUU